rnacentral:lncRNA from 7 species
AGACAUAAUCAUGGACAAAACAAAACAAGGUUUUUUGAGGAAAAUGUGUGCUGUAUGUCUUCAUGAUGUUCUCAUUCACUUUGUUUGGUCUUCCUUCUCUUUAUUACGUCUUCUUCCUUCUACAGAUUAAACCAGAAAUGUUUCAAUCACAUUAUUCCUGUUAUUGCAAACUGCUUUUAGUAUGCUCUGCAAUGCAUUUUAUGUCUAUGACCCAAAAUCGAUAGUAGAGUAACCUAGAGUACACCAACAGAGUGCACUAAUUCUGUCACCAUGUGUUGAUGUUUAUUCUACUAAUUGGUUUUCAUAUUUAGUUCACCUGAAGUACAUAAAGGAUCUACAUCAGCCUUUCCAAGUACUGGGAAAAUAUUUCAUCAUCAACUGUAUUGUAUUUGUAGCUCCUUUCUUAGUAUUUCCACUUUAUCACCUGCUUGCAUGCAUACUGUGUUUGUUCUUUUUGCCUCUUAAUUUAUGCUUGCUAAUCAUCUGUUAAUGUAGUUUGAAUGCAAUGUCCUUUGCAUGAAAGCCCAUCAGCUAUCUCAUUACUAAAUCUCAUUUGAGUCACUACACCUAUUAUCACCUGGCCAAAUUUCCAUUAUGUUUUGUCAUUGAGAAUGUUACCAAAGAGAGAUUAAGUUAUAUGAACACUAAUAGGAAAUAAAAUAAUUAAUUCUACUUUAUCCUGUUAAUAUAGUUUUUUUCUCCACUGUAGAAAAUAGACUUCACCUUAAAUUACUCUUAACAAAGGUUUCUAUUUCCUUGCCAGGGUAGAAAGAUAUGACAUUCAUCUACUGUUAACGCAUGCAGAAGCCUAAUUAAGUAUGUGUAAUGAAGUAUUCAGAAAGGCUAAUCAUUCAAAACAAUUUCUGGCAUUAGAGAUUAUAUAUAGCAAUAUGUUUUUAUAUGUUUUAUAUAGCAAUAUAGCAAUAUGUUUUUAAAAAAACAUAAGUACUAAUAAAUGCAUAUUUUCUAAGAAAGUAGCAUAAGAUUUCCACAUUUUAACUAUGACAAUAAAUUCAUUAGAGAUAUUACUGUGAUACUUGGAUAUUACUUGGACUUUUAAAGAUUAAUGCACAAAGAACAGAUAUUGUCCUCACAAUUUGCUUCUGCUAUCAAUUUCAUAAUUCUGAAUUGUAGAUCUGAAAUGUGACAUGUAUCAACUAAAUUCUAAAGAAUCUGAGAGUUCUUACAGUGGUAUUACAACUCUGUUCUUCCCAUAUAUUUCUAGCAAAUAAAAUUCGGAUAUUUAUGGCUAUCAGCAUUUUUAGUUAAUGGUUAUUUGAUGUUCUCAAACAGAGGCAGGAUAUAAGCAUCCUGCAAGUAAAAGGCAAAGGUCAUGGAGUCAGCAUAUAAAAGUUUUACAGAGUUCUAUAACUCUUUCUAUAAAAGACUGCUUUUUUUUAUUUUUUAUUUUUUAUUUUGCUGUAGGCAGUUCUCAUUGUGGUCUUGUAGUACUUAACCAGUUGUGCAAUGCAAGUUUCAUGGGUUUGUAGCAUAUGAAAGAGGUGAAUAUUCUCCCUCCUCAAAAUUACUAAUUAGAAGACAAAUGGUCAUGCUUGACACACUACUUAAAUGGACAUGCUCUCCAAGAGUCAGAACUGGAAUAGCAACCGGAGAAGAGUCACAAAAAUGAUCAGAGGGCUGGAGCACCUUCUCAUGAGAAGAAAGGCUGAAGGGAGCUGGGCUUAUUUAGCCUGGGGAAGAGAAGGCUCUGACCGAAGCAUGGAAGAUUGGCAGGAAAAACUCAUGUCCAGAUCACCUAUACACAGAAAAGAUCUACAGUUAACACAAGAUUUAAUCUCUAAAUAACAUAUUUCUCAUGAGGACUGUCAAUCUAUUGCCAUGUGCAGUGUUCCAGACUUUUUGAGUUUUCCCCCCUCAAAGAAAAUGUUUGGUUUAUGGACAAAGCAUGAGCACAAGAUCUUUUUUUUACCAUGAGCACGAACGACCUGUGUCAACUGGAUACGAUCCUGCUCUUCCACCUAACAAGCUGUCCUAUCACAUCUGGCUCCUACAUUCCAAGAGGAAGAUCACGUGUCUUACAGAUCCCUGUGAUAAGAACUUACAUUAGUUGAGAAUUCAAUAGGAAGAGGAAGCAACCAGGCCAUGAGGAUGCCCUUUGACAUAGUACUUGUAUUUUUGGAACCACACCUUACAGGUCCUCUGUGCUCGAGCAAUGAAAAGUGUUACUUUACACUGUGAGUCAUAAUUAUUUUUAAUUGUAUAAAGUAAAUUAGGAUUGAACUAUAAUGGGGUCUUAAAAGCAAAGAGUUAAAUGAAGAAAGAACUGCUUCAGAUACAAUCUAAUGAAGCUGAGUGAUUAAUUGCCUCAGAAGUUCAAAGGAAUAGGAAAUGCAGGUGGAUUUUAAAGUGGACUAAAUGGUUUUAUGAAUAUCAAUUUCUUUUUUGAAUAAUGCAGACUAUGAAACCUAAUAAUAUCUUAUCUAUGGAGACAGGCAACCUAUUAACAGGUUAACACACGCACACAAAAAGAAUAAUUUUGCACCAUGUUUACUGAUAUACAAUAAACUGUACACUCUUUUUAAAUAAAGCAAGUGUUAGUUUCU